CACCGAGGAGGCCCAACUGCACAGGUGACUGUGUACCUUACCCCACGUUCACACCAGCUCAACACAUGGACUCCACACCAGCCCCCCAGUGCACCGGAACCCAACAGGGCACACACUCGCACACCAGACCCUGUGCACGGGGACCCUACGGGGCAUACACUCCCACACCAGGCCCCCCCCUGCUCCUACCCCAGGCCCCCCACCCCAUGUGCACACUCUCACACUAGCCACCGUGUGUACACUCGCACACCAGUUCCUCGUGUGCAAACUCCCACGCCUCCCAUACCAAGUCCCCCGUGCACACUCCCACACCAGGCCCCCAUGCUCACACUUGCACACCAGCCCAUGGGCACACUCCCACAUCAGGCCCCCAUGUACAUACUCCCACACCAGCCUGUGUACACACUCCCACACCAGCCCCCCAUGUGCACACUCCCACACCAGGCCCCCCCGUGCUCAUACUCCCACACCAGCCCAUGUGCACACUCCCACACCAGCCCCCCAUGUGCACACUCCCACACCAGGCCCCCAUGCUCACACUCACACACCAGCCCAGGGGCACACUCCCACACCAGCCCCCCACGUACACUCCCACACCAGCCCCCAUGUACACUCCCACACCAGCCCCCGUGCUCACACUCGCACACCAGCCCAUGUACACACUCCCACACCAGCCCGACUGCUGCUGUGUGAAGAGCUCCAGCCUGCUUGCCUCGGUCUCCCUCACUGCACAGCUAGGACAGUGCUUCCAUUCCAGGGGAACGGGGGCUGUGCUCAGGAUGGCAGGGAGGCGUGGGGUGGGAGUGGAGAGAAAGCGGUGUCCAGCUUGGGGAGGGACCCUGCAUGGCCAGGCAGGUGGGCACAGGGCAGAGAGGGACGUGCUGUGGGUGGCAAUGGCUCUGUAGCUCAUCACAGAGGGAGACGACCAGACGCAGAAGCACAGGCCAAGGCGCCACGAAACCUCCACCACCUGCAACUCCGACGCCUCCUCCCAUGCUCCGUCCGUCCCAUCUCAUCUUCUCCUUCUCUCAGUGCCGCACACGGCCAAGGACGUCCACCCCACGCCAUGGCUCUCCAGCCGGCAGGGAGGGAAAUGCUGUUCUCUGUGGCCCCGAGACAGUUACAGGACACGCGUGAGCCCAGCGGGGACAGCAAGCAACAGGCUGUCCGCACACGGCCCACAGCUGCCAGGAGGGGAGGAGUCGUGUGCUGGUCACAGGGCAGGGGCGUCAAGGCGCGUCCCAAGUCGGAGGUCUCGUCACUCCAAGAACUAACACCUGCCCUUCAACAGUCUGCACGUUCCAGAGGGCUCAGCAGUGCCGCAGCCGGCAGCACGGAAGGAAGAGGACACACACGACUCGGCGCUUCGCCAGCAGAGGCAGACGAAAACCCUCCUUUUCCCAUCCCUGCCAAAACAUAA
rnacentral:lncRNA from 1 species